GGCGCUAUAGCCAAGUGGUUACGGCGACAGAUUCGAACUGUCGCUAUCUGUUCCUCUUUGAGGGCGCAGGUUCAAAUCCUGCUGGCGUCG
rnacentral:tRNA from 1 species